CCUACGUGAGGCAGCAGUGGGGAAUAUUGCACAAUGGGCGAAACCCUGAUCCAGCGACGCCGCGUGAGUGAAGAAGGAUUUCGGUAUGUAAAACUCUAUCAGCAGGGAAGAAAAUGACAGUACCUGACCAAGAGUCCCCGGCUAACUACGUGCCAGCAGCCGCGGUAAUACGUAGGGGGCAAGCGUUAUCCGGAUUUAAUGUGUGUAAAGUGAGCGUAGACGGUUAUGUAAGUCUGGAGUGAAAGCCCGGGGUCCAACCCCGGGACUGCUUUGGAAACUGUGUAACUGGAGUACAUGAGGGGCAGGCGGAAUUCCUGGUGUAGCGGUGAAAUGCGUAGAUAUCAGGAGGAACACCGGUGGCGAAGGCGGCAUGCUGGACUGAAACUGACGCUGAGGCUCGAAAGCGUGGGGAGCAAACAGGAUUAGAUACCCGUGUAGUC
rnacentral:rRNA from 1 species